rnacentral:sRNA from 1 species
CUCAACCGCAAGGAGGGGGAUGCCUAAGGCAGGGCUAGUGACUGGGGUGAAGUCGUAACAAGGUAGCCGUACCGGAAGGUGUGGCUGGAUCACCUCCUUAAAGGGAGACCUAAUUCGGGUAUGGGACGAAAAAAAAGUAGUCGCUACCAAGAAUCAAUCCCAAAAGGUCGGAGCGAGGCAAAAUUGGCUUUCAAACUAGGUUCUGGGUUCACACAAGACCUGAAUCAGGAACAAGGGCUAUUAGCUCAGGUGGUUAGAGCGCACCCCUGAUAAGGGUGAGGUCCCUGGUUCGAGUCCAGGAUGGCCCACCUGUACAGGUGGCAAAAACAAAGAAGCGAGGAAUCAGCACCUUAUCUUAUUUAUAUAGUAAGAGAGAAUGCUGGCUCUGAGUUCAGAGUCCAGAGGAACCUUGAAAACUGCAUAGAGCUAGGUGAAAAAGCCAAAAAAGAAGACCGCAAGGUCAAGCUAAUAAGGGCUAACGGUG